UGAACGCUGGCGGCGUGCCUAAUACAUGCAAGUCGAGCGAACGGACGAGAAGCUUGCUUCUCUGAUGUUAGCGGCGGACGGGUGAGUAACACGUGGAUAACCUACCUAUAAGACUGGGAUAACUUCGGGAAACCGGAGCUAAUACCGGAUAAUAUUUUGAACCGCAUGGUUCAAAAGUGAAAGACGGUCUUGCUGUCACUUAUAGAUGGAUCCGCGCUGCAUUAGCUAGUUGGUUAGGUAACGGCUUACCAAGGCAACGAUGCAUAGCCGACCUGAGAGGGUGAUCGGCCACACUGGAACUGAGACACGGUCCAGACUCCUACGGGAGGCAGCAGUAGGGAAUCUUCCGCAAUGGGCGAAAGCCUGACGGAGCAACGCCGCGUGAGUGAUGAAGGUCUUCGGAUCGUAAAACUCUGUUAUUAGGGAAGAACAUAUGUGUAAGUAACUGUGCACAUCUUGACGGUACCUAAUCAGAAAGCCACGGCUAACUACGUG
rnacentral:rRNA from 1 species